UACGAAGGGGGCUAGCGUUGUUCGGAAUUACUGGGCGUAAAGGGCGCGUAGGCGGCUUAACAAGUCACUUGUGAAAUCUCCGAGCUUAACUCGGAACGGUCAGCUGAUACUGUUUUGCUAGAGUGCAGAAAGGGCAACCGGAAUUCUUGGUGUAGCGGUGAAAUGCGUAGAUAUCAAGAGGAACACCUGAGGCGAAGGCGGGUUGCUAGGCUGACACUGACGCUGAGGCGCGAAAGCUAGGGUAGCAAACGGG
rnacentral:rRNA from 1 species